GCGGACGGGUGAGUAACACGUGGGUAACCUGCCCAUAAGACUGGGAUAACUCCGGGAAACCGGGGCUAAUACCGGAUAACAUUUUGAACUGCAUGGUUCGAAAUUGAAAGGCGGCUUCGGCUGUCACUUAUGGAUGGACCCGCGUCGCAUUAGCUAGUUGGUGAGGUAACGGCUCACCAAGGCAACGAUGCGUAGCCGACCUGAGAGGGUGAUCGGCCACACUGGGACUGAGACACGGCCCAGACUCCUACGGGAGGCAGCAGUAGGGAAUCUUCCGCAAUGGACGAAAGUCUGACGGAGCAACGCCGCGUGAGUGAUGAAGGCUUUCGGGUCGUAAAACUCUGUUGUUAGGGAAGAACAAGUGCUAGUUGAAUAAGCUGGCACCUUGACGGUACCUAACCAGAAAGCCACGGCUAACUACGUGCCAGCAGCCGCGGUAAUACGUAGGUGGCAAGCGUUAUCCGGAAUUAUUGGGCGUAAAGCGCGCGCAGGUGGUUUCUUAAGUCUGAUGUGAAAGCCCACGGCUCAACCGUGGAGGGUCAUUGGAAACUGGGAGACUUGAGUGCAGAAGAGGAAAAGUGGAAUUCCAUGUGUAGCGGUGAAAUGCGUAGAGAUAUGGAGGA
rnacentral:rRNA from 1 species